rnacentral:lncRNA from 1 species
GAUGAGAUGGCUCCAGGAAACAGCAUCACAAAGUUAGCAGCAUGAAGUGGAUGAUGAGAUGGUGUCAUUCCCAGAAAGACUUCUGCUGUUGGUAUCUCGUGAAGCAUCUUGACAGUGUGAUGGCAUCCCACAGCUCCUUGUGCUUCUUCAGGUUGCUCCUGUUACUGAUCUUGCUUUGGGUUUUGCUGAGGAACAUGCUGAGGCUUUAUUUGCUAUGUCCCAGCCGCCACAGCUCUGUUUUGGACUGUGCUGAUUCUUCCAUUUAUUUCCCAGUGUGGUAAGUUUUUGCUUUCUCAGACUGCCCUGUGACAAUUUACUUCCAAUACUAAUAAAAAUCUACUUAAUUUAUCA